AGUCCAGGGGCAGCAAAUCCAUAGUGGGUAAUUGAAGUCCCUGAGUAAUGUUUUAAUUCAAAUUUUAAUCUUUAUGCACAGAGACAGCAGGUCAUUCUUAACUAGCAAGAGAAGCAGGAAGAUUAAGCAUGUACACAGUGCAUUACCUUGAGAGGAGAGUGAAGGAGUGAACCGUUUCUACUGACUAUUUACAAGUAUUUAAUCUAUGCCAGCUCUGCCACAAAAACCGCCUGGAAGGGCCAGACUCUUCACCCAAGUUGCUACUUAUACCCAGGGGUCAGAGUUGUGACUGGCACCACUCACAUCUACAAUGGGGACCUCACCUGUCCUGUACAACUUCCAGUGUCAAGUGUGGGAUGAGAUGCUUCAGAUGAAUGAAAGAACUAGACAAAGA